UCGAGCGAAUGACGAGGAGCUUGCUCCUCUGAUUUAGCGGCGGACGGGUGAGUAACACGUGGGUAAUCUGCCUGUAAGACGGGGAUAACUCCGGGAAACCGGGGCUAAUACCGGAUAAUAAGAAGAAACGCAUGUUUCUUUUUUGAAAGUCGGUUUCGGCUGACACUUACAGAUGAGCCCGCGGCGCAUUAGCUAGUUGGUGAGGUAACGGCUCACCAAGGCGACGAUGCGUAGCCGACCUGAGAGGGUGAUCGGCCACACUGGGACUGAGACACGGCCCAGACUCCUACGGGAGGCAGCAGUAGGGAAUCUUCGGCAAUGGGCGAAAGCCUGACCGAGCAACGCCGCGUGAGCGAUGAAGGCCUUCGGGUCGUAAAGCUCUGUUGUUAGAGAAGAACAAGUACGAGAGUAACUGCUCGUACCUUGACGGUACCUAACCAGAAAGCCACGGCUAACUACGUGCCAGCAGCCGCGGUAAUACGUAGGUGGCAAGCGUUAUCCGGAAUUAUUGGGCGUAAAGCGCGCGCAGGCGGUCUCUUAAGUCUGAUGUGAAAGCCCACGGCUCAACCGUGGAGGGUCAUUGGAAACUGGGAGACUUGAGUGCAGGAGAGAAAAGUGGAAUUCCACGUGUAGCGGUGAAAUGCGUAGAGAUGUGGAGGAACACCAGUGGCGAAGGCGGCUUUUUGGCCUGUAACUGACGCUGAGGCGCGA
rnacentral:rRNA from 1 species